rnacentral:rRNA from 1 species
GACGAACGCUGGCGGCGUGCUUAACACAUGCAAGUCGGACGGAAAGGCCCCUUUGGGGGUACUCGAGUGGCGAACGGGUGAGUAACACGUGAGUAACCUGCCCUUGACUUCGGGAUAACUUCAGGAAACUGGGGCUAAUACCGGAUAGGAAUCCUUGCUGCAUGGUGGGGGUUGGAAAGCUUCGGCGGUUUUGGAUGGACUCGCGGCUUAUCAGCUUGUUGGUGGGGUAGUGGCUUACCAAGGCUUUGACGGGUAGCCGGCCUGAGAGGGCGACCGGCCACAUUGGGACUGAGAUACGGCCCAGACUCCUACGGUAGGCAGCAGUGGGGAAUAUUGCACAAUGGGCGGAAGCCUGAUGCAGCAACGCCGCGUGCGGGAUGACGGCCUUCGGGUUGGAAACCGCUUUCAGCAGGGGCGAAGCUUGUGGUGACGGUACCUGCAGAAGAAGCACCGGCUAACUACGUG